UCAGUUCGGAUCGGAGUCUGCAACCCGACUCCGUGAAGCUGGAUUCGCUAGUAAUCGCGCAUCAGCCAUGGCGCGGUGAAUACGUUCCCGGGCCUUGUACACACCGCCCGUCAAGCCAUGGGAGCCGGGAGCGCUUGAAGUGCGUCGCCGCGAAGCGCGCCCUAGAGCGAGACCGGUGACUGGGGCUAAGUCGUAACAAGGUAGC
rnacentral:rRNA from 1 species